CAUGUGACGCUUUUCAUGAAUGGCACCGCCGGUCACAGGGCGAGACAAGCUAAUACUGAUAUAUUGGAGGAGUGCGUCAGCGUCAGCGUCCCAGGACGGCACACGCACGUCACCGAGGUCGCGCACGUGA